rnacentral:rRNA from 1 species
GCCUCCCUCCGCGCCAUCAGACUCCUACGGAGGCAGCAGUGGGGAAUCUUGCGCAAUGGCCGAAAGGCUGACGCAGCGACGCCGCGUGUGGGAUGAAAUAUCUUGGUAUGUAAACUCCUUUCGAUGGGGAAGAUUAUGACGGUACCCAUAGAAGAAGCCCCGGCUAACUUCGUGCCAGCCGCCGCGGUAAUUC